GAAAUUGCAGGCUGUACCUGUAGUUACCACACCAAGGACUGCAACAGGUGGACUUGGAGAGGCUGAACCUCCCGGGAGCGCUGGGGAAUGACGUUAGGAGGAUGAGCUGCUGAACCCAGGAACAGUCAGAAAAAAUUGCACGGCAAAGAGUCACUUUUCUGCCCUGGAGACCAGAGAUGCCCAAUGCUCCUGGCCCUGAGUGAGCUUCCUCAACGCCUGGACCUGGCAGGAAACGCCUAAGAAGCGCUGGAGCCGGCAGGGGAGACCGAGUCAGGGCCCUGCCUGCCAGGGCCCAGUGCCCUGCUGGGAGGUGAAGCUGGAAAGGCAUCGCAGCAGAGAUGAGAGAGCAGAUCAGAGGCUCACAGCUGGGUCAGACAUCCCCUGAGGGAUGCCUUAUGGCAGCGGAGGUCCCCAGAGGAACCCCAGAUUCCUUGGCUUCCCCUUGUUCCCUAGUCACUACCGGACAGCUCUUAAUGACUUGCAGCCUGUGGCCUGAACGUCCUGUCCAGACUGUAAGCAACACCUGCUGAGAGCUUUCCAGCACCUUCUUCUAGGACAUGCCCUGUACCCUGGAUCCCAAAUCAUCCUCUUAGAUUCUUCCUUCUUUUGGGAGAACACUUUCUCCAGUAACUUCCUGAGAAAGAGUGAC